AUUGAACGCUGGCGGCAUGCUUUACACAUGCAAGUCGAACGGUAACAGGUCUUCGGAUGCUGACGAGUGGCGAACGGGUGAGUAAUGCAUCGGAACGUGCCCAGUCGUGGGGGAUAACGCAGCGAAAGCUGUGCUAAUACCGCAUACGAUCUAUGGAUGAAAGCGGGGGAUCGCAAGACCUCGCGCGAUUGGAGCGGCCGAUGUCAGAUUAGCUAGUUGGUGGGGUAAAGGCCCACCAAGCCAACGAUCUGUAGCUGGUCUGAGAGGACGACCAGCCACACUGGAACUGAGACACGGUCCAGACUCCUACGGGAGGCAGCAGUGGGGAAUUUUGGACAAUGGGCGCAAGCCUGAUCCAGCAAUGCCGCGUGCAGGA
rnacentral:rRNA from 1 species